UGCCUCAUUUCUGUGUGGUUUCUGGGAAAU
rnacentral:piRNA from 1 species